GUGGUAUCCUGAGUAGGGCGGGGCACGUGAAACCCUGUCUGAAUUUGGCGGGACCAUCCGCUAAGGCUAAAUACUCCUGAGAGACCGAUAGUGAACCAGUACCGUGAGGGAAAGGUGAAAAGAACCGUGAAUAACGGAGUGAAAUAGAUCCUGAAACCAUACGCUUACAAGCGGUCGGAGCCCUUUCGUGGGGUGACGGCGUGCCUUUUGCAUAAUGAGCCUACGAGUUAACGCUGCUGGCGAGGUUAAGUGGUUAAGCCACGGAUCCGCAGCGAAAGCGAGUCUGAAUAGGGCGCUUUAGUCAGUAGUGUUAGACGCGAAACCGUGUGAUCUACCCAUGGGCAGGAUGAAGCUGUGGUAACACACAGUGGAGGUCCGAACCGGUUGACGUUGAAAAGUCUUCGGAUGACCUGUGGGUAGGGGUGAAAGGCCAAUCAAACUCGGAAAUAGCUCGUACUCCCCGAAAUGCAUUUAGGUGCAGCGCUGAAUUAAGUUAUAUAGAGGUAGAGCUACUGAUUGGAUGCGGGGGCUUCACCGCCUACCAAUUCCUGACAAACUCCGAAUGCUAUAUAAUGUUUCUCAGCAGUGAGGGCUUGGGUGCUAAGGUCCAAGUCCGAGAGGGAAAGAACCCAGACCAUCAGCUAAGGUCCCCAAAUAUACACUAAGUUGAAAGAACGAGGUUUGUCUGCCCAGACAGCUAGGAUGUUGGCUUGGAAGCAGCCAUUCAUUUAAAGAGUGCGUAACAGCUCACUAGUCGAGCGGACGAGCAUGGAUAAUAAUCGGGCAUAAGUGUAUUACCGAAGCUAUGGAUUUACAGUUUACUGUAAGUGGUAGGGGAGCAUUCUAACAGGGUUGAAGGUGUAUCGUCAGGUAUGCUGGACUGGUUAGAAAAGAAAAUGUAGGCAUAAGUAACGAUAAUGCGGGCGAGAAACCCGCACACCGAAAAACUAAGGUUUCCACAGCUAUGCUAAUCAGCUGUGGGUUAGUCUGGUCCUAAGGCGAACCCGAAAGGGACAGUCGAUGGCUAACGGGUUAAUAUUCCCGUACUACUAAUUACUGUGAUGGGGUGACGGAGUGAUGAAAGCGCCGCGAACUGACGGAAUAGUUCGUUAAAGUACCUAGCUAUAGGCUCUGCAGGCAAAUCCGCAGAGACUGGUGAAAUACGAUAGUACUCGGAGUCUUCGGACAAAGAGAUAGUGCGCCUAAGGGCUUCCAAGAAAAACCUCUAAACUUCAGGUAAUUAGUACCAGUACCGUAAACCGACACAGGUAGUUGAGGAGAGAAUCCUAAGGUGCUCGAGAGAUUCAUGGCUAAGGAAUUAGGCAAAAUAGACCUGUAACUUCGGGAGAAAGGUCGCCCCGAGCAAUCGGGGCCGCAGUGAAGAGGUCCAGGCGACUGUUUAUCAAAAACACAGGGCUCUGCAAAAUCGUAAGAUGAAGUAUAGGGCCUGACACCUGCCCGGUGCUGGAAGGUUAAGAGGAGAUGUUAUCUUCGGAGAAGCAUUGAAUUGAAGCCCCAGUAAACGGCGGCCGUAACUAUAACGGUCCUAAGGUAGCGAAAUUCCUUGUCGGGUAAGUUCCGACCUGCACGAAUGGUGUAACGAUCUGGACACUGUCUCAGCCAUGAGCUCGGUGAAAUUGUAGUAACGGUGAAGAUGCCGUUUACCCGCAGUGGGACGAAAAGACCCUGUGCACCUUUACUAUAGCUUAGUAUUGACCUUGGAUAAAUGAUGUGUAGGAUAGGUUGGAGAC
rnacentral:rRNA from 1 species